CCGAGCUGCUCAUUGAGAACGGCGCUGACUUGAAUGCCAAAGACUUGAAAGGAUAUGAACCGCUGGAUAAUGCCAUUUUGUCCGGUAACGACGAUGUUGUCCGGUUUCUUAAAAAGUCGGGAGCAGAGUUGAAUGCUUUUCCAGCUCCUGGUGACAAUGCUACACAGCAUAAGCGUUCUGCCAUUUUGAUUUUCGCAAUAAUUUUUUUCAAUUCUUCAACAUUUAUCACGUUGUUUCUGGCGAGUUUCUAAUAAUUUUGAACAAAAAAUGAUACUAAUACAAAAUCAGAAAAUAUAGUUGAGCAGUUUCAACGUUGAAUUUCCAUUUGGAGUAUUUGUCAUUGGAAUUUUUAAUCACUGUCAAAUCACUCGCCGACACCGAAUUCGAAAUGAUUUGCCGGAAAAGUCCGUAGAAUCAAAACCUAAAAUUAUCGUACACUUCACGCAAAGCGCUCAGAGUGGCCAGCUUAGGUCCUUGAAAAUUUUGGAAAUUUAGAAGUUGCGCUACCAAACUGGGAAACAUCCACACAAGACGAUGAAAAGAUUCGAUUUGAAAGUGUGACAAAAUUGAGCCUCAGAAACAACAUGAAACACAUACCUACAAUGAUCAUCUUUUCACUGCUUAUCGAACUGGAACUAAUUUGUCAUCCCCAAUACUAAACGACGGACUGGAUAGAUUAUAUCAUCAAAAGUAAAACACUAAAGAAAUUAUACUCCCAAAAUUAUAUCUCGGAUGGACGAAUUUAAACAAUUUCACAGUUUUUACGGAAUUCGACUAAAAUUUCGCUUGGAUGUGACUUUGAUGUUCAAGCCAAAACACUUGUUACACUAACGCAACGUUGCGCUGACGUCAAAUUACUGAAUUUGACAGGGCAAAUAGCAAAUAAAUUACAAGAUACACUCCAAUACACAUGGCAAACAAUCAACCUUUCUGAGACGAAUCAUCACGAACGGAAAUAUUGACGUGUGCUUGUUUACUGGAAUUUGGGUCGUUUUCAAAUGCUUUUAGGUUUUUGUGUGUAUCUAUUUUCGUCGUUGCCUAAUGUUAAACGCACAUUUGAGGACAUCCCAGUUAUUAUCACCUAAUAAAAUAAAUAAUUGCUAGUCGAAGCUUGCUUUCCAUCUGAAAUAAAACACAAAUGCAAAAAUAAAACCGAAUAAAAAUAUGAACUGAAAACAGAAA